UACGGGGGGGGCAAGCGUUGUUCGGAAUUACUGGGCGUAAAGGGUCUGUAGGUGGCUUGCUAAGUCAGACGUGAAAUCCCUCAGCUUAACUGGGGAACUGCGUCUGAGACUGGCGAGCUUGAGGGCAGGAGAGGAACGCGGAAUUCCAGGUGUAGCGGUGAAAUGCGUAGAUAUCUGGAGGAACACCGGUGGCGAAGGCGGCGUCCUGGACCAACACUGACACUGAUGAGCGAAAGCCAGGGGAGCAAACGGG
rnacentral:rRNA from 1 species